rnacentral:rRNA from 1 species
UAGUCCACGCUGUAAACGAUGAUCACUCGCUGCUGGCGAUACACUGUCAGUGGCCAAGCGAAAGCAUUAAGUGAUCCACCUGGGGAGUACGAUCGCAAGGUUGAAACUCAAAGGAAUUGACGGGGGCCCGCACAAGCGGUGGAGCAUGUGGUUUAAUUCGAUGAUACGCGAGGAACCUUACCAGGGCUUAAAUGUACUAUGACCCCUCGGGAAACCGAGGUUCUCUUUGAGCAGAGUACAAGGUGCUGCAUGGUUGUCGUCAGCUCGUGCUGUGAGGUGUCGGGUUAAGUCCCAUAACGAGCGCAACCCCUAUCACUAGUUGCCAGCGAGUAAUGUCGGGGACUCUAGUGAAACUGCCCGCGCAAGCGGUGAGGAAGGUGGGGAUGACGUCAAAUCAUCACGGCCCUUACGUCCUGGGCUACACACGUGCUACAAUGGUUGGUACAAAGGGCAGCGACUGGGUGACCAGAAGCGAAUCUCUAAAGCCAAUCUCAGUUC